rnacentral:miRNA from 15 species
AGUGUAUCAGAGAUUGUGCUCGGGAUGUAAGAGGUAUUGGCGUGUCUCAAUCUGAAGCCAUGGUUGGAUGCUCGAGUAGCCAUGUACUUGGAUUGAGCCGCGUCAAUAUCUCUCCUUGGCUGAAAGCAC